AUCUUUCUAAUAUUAAUAUUAGUAUAGAUGGCUUCCAACCAUCCAGACUUGGUUUAAAUCCAAGGAAAGAUA
rnacentral:tRNA from 1 species